GCCAAGUCCCAGCCGUCGCGGCAGUGCCCUGCGCACCGACUCACCAUCUGCCGGAUCUUGGCCGCCAGGUGCUUCGUGCUAUAGCACAGCGACUUGACUGUCUGCUUUUCACUAGCAAAAGCUUCUUGAACGAAUUCCAGACCGUGAACUUCUCGCACAUCUGCGGAGAGACACCGAGAGCUGCCGUCGCGUCCGAGCCCCGGGGACGGCCCGCGGGGCCCCCGCCGCGGCCCCGUACCCACCUCAUCCUGCAGCUGGACGGCGCGGUCGUGCAGCAUCCAGGCCAGCGACUCGCACUCGGGCAGCGCCCGCCGCGCCCCCGCCUCCUCCUCCAGCCCGGCCUCCCCGGACGAGUCGGGGAGCGGAGCGGCGGCGGCGGGCAGCGGCAGCAGCGACAGCAACAGCAGCAGCAGCGCGGCGGGGCCGGGACGGGGCGCUCUCCGGCGGCGGCUCCCGCCGCUCCCCGGCCGCUGUCGCGCCGCCUCGAAGCUCUCGGUGAAGUUCAUGGUGAGGCUCCUGUGCUCGUCGGGUAGGCUGGCGGGGCGAAUGAGCUCCGGACAUCCCUGAACGUGUAUUUAUCGAGGGGGCUUCGAGAUUAUUCAUGGCCUGGGAAAAUCCGGCAUGAGAACACGGGGGUGUGUGCCCUGUGCUUGCGCCGAGCUUGACACGGCACUCGCCCCGUCUGAGAGCACUGGGAUUGUGAAACGGGGCUGGGGGAGGUGGCGAGCCGAGCCGGGCCGGGCAGAGCACAGGCAUGAAGUCAUUUUUCCGCCCCGUAACUCCUUGAGGGCCGCGCUGCCGCUCACCUGGCCUCGGCCGGGGGUCGGACCCGGCAGCCGCCCGCAGGGUCCGGUACCUACACGCAGGCAUGGCGUGUGUCUUAUGUUUUCUUCUGUUUUAUACAUCUUAGAAAUUGAUAUCUGAUUUCACUAUUUUUAUUCGUUGUACAUCUUUAUUUAUUCUUGUUUUUAAGAUUUUUUUUUUUAAUUCUAUUUGUGUUCUAUUUUCAUUCAUUCUGUUUUUAUUGCUUUUAAACAUGAAACCGAAUGCCCUUGGUUUAGCUGCUGGACGUGUCCACGUUGUAUGCUGUCACAUACACAUGUCUCUGUGAACCCCACCUGGGCAUGUCCCAUCGCUCCUGCGCUGCCAGCACACAGCAGUGGAGGAAGGUCAGCGCCCAGGGCUCCCUGGGGCAGCAGGCGCAGGAAAUGCCACGCAGUCAGUCACCUGCUAUCUGCAGCCUUAUCUCCUUCGCCACACAGGGAGGGGUGUUGGGAAUUUUGGCAUUUUGCUGAGGGAUUCUUUGCCCAGAAAGAGCGUGCCCGUUAGGCUCAGGCACAGGCUAGCAUGGGCUGGGGUGAGCUGCUGGGCCGUGCUGCUGGUCAGCUUUGGAAAUGUCUCCGUGUGAUUUUGCCAAACAGAGAAGAACAGAGGAAGAGCUGAUCUGGGUUCUGGAAUGGGGAGGGAAUAACACGGACACAGGGAGAUGAUAACACAGGAAUUGAGGCUGGGUGUCCUCUCUCGGACUCCGAUUUGUAAAGAUUGUUGGCAGUAGGCUUUUUCAGAAAAGCCUGUACAGAGAGCCUUGGGUAAGAGGCAGAAUAUCAGUUUGUGUCAUGUCCACUUCUGCCUGCAGUGCAAAGGCAGCUGCAGUAACUUUACCUGCUUGGGAGAUAUUAGGACUGAAAUGCAAGCAACUCUGUGACUUCCAGUAGCUGCCAUCAGCAAGUGCCUGGCUCCCUGAGCCAUAACAAUAAUAGUCUGUUGUGCUCUCUCCAGCCAGAGCUGUGGUAUGAGCCACAAGAACAAAGCACAAAGGCAGUGGUGUGUUUGGCCAACACCACACUAAUGGGUCCAGCUGCAAGGUGCCAAAGGGUAGGAGCAGCCCAACAAGGUGAGCCUGGGUUUUGCCUUCUGAUACCACUGCAAAUGCUGCAGGAGGGGAGCUCCUGCCUCCCACUUUCUAUUUGUGAUAGCACACAGAAGUAUGCCUCCAAGAGAGCUCUUUCUUUCCAGUUCUAGAUAGACAGCUUGUGUUCUGCUUCCUGCACGCAGCCCAGCUUCUCCAGUCUUGCCGGAGUGUUUGAUUAAACAUUUAGAGUGAAAUAAAACAAAAUUUCAAUUGUUGUAUCUCAUCUUAAAGAUCCCAAGCUUUCUGCCAUUGCUGCCCCUUACAUUAUUUUUGGUUUGUUUGCUGUUUCCAUUUGGGUGUGUGCGUGACUUUUCAGAAGUGCUGAGUAUCCUUGCGUGCUCCCAUAGCAGAUGCUCAUGAAUGCCUUACGUAGCAUUCAAGAGAAGAAGGAACCUGAAUUUACACUUCUGCUACUACUGCAUUUAUUUUCUUUGGGAAAAUCUCUCUCCCUUCUCUCUCUUUUUUUUUUUUCCAUUUUUUUUUCUCUUGUACUGCAUUUAAAAUAAAUUAUUUGCACUGAUCUAUCUACAGGAAUCUUUAAUGUUUGUGAUGGACUUAAAGGGGUUAAUUAGCCCACUCUGUAUUGCUCUGAGCUAAGCUGCUUCAUCACCCUGUUCAGAAAGCAGUAAGCCCUGAACAAGCAGUGCUGGUUCAUCAGCUAACAAUGCAUCAGGACAUGGGGCGGCUGGGACUCUAAUACUUAUGAGCACUAAUACUGAGACUUUAAGAUAUAAUUUCUAGAUAUAGGUGUAUCUUACAGUUUACUGUUUUUCUAUCCUGUUGUUGUUGCUGUUCUUCAUUUCACUCUGUGGGUUAGUCCUCUAUUACUGUCAUUUACAUUACAAAACUGAUGGCUGCCUCCCAGUGUCUAAAACUUUUCUGGGGUGGGAUCUCACAUAUCGUCAGCAUUCAUCCAACUCUUUCUUUUGUCUGGGCAAUGGGCAUUACUACUGUAAGCUCUGUGGGAGCAGAGAGGCCAAUUGUGAAUGCUGUAAAAAACCUCUGCUGUCAGACUCUGUGCACAUGAAAACGACUGCUAAUUACAGUCAGGGAUGAAUUCAUAGCCAGAGAGCCAAUCCAGGAUAAUGCCAUCUGUUGAACGCUCUUUUUCUAGCAUCAGUAUGGUAACUCCCAGACUUGAUCCAGAGAAUUGCUCCAGGUGCAAGCAAGCCCACGCCACUUUUUCUCCUGAUAAUCUGGGAGAUUUGCAAGCAAGAGGCUGUUUUCAGGUGAGGUGGCUGAGACCAUCGGCGUAAAUGCUCCUACCACUGAAGAGUUUAGCAGACUGCAGAGCUGUUUUGGUCAAAGCCUGUCACCCCUCCCACUGGCCAUCACAGCAGGGGCUGUGAGGAGCCCCACCACGGACUGAGGUAAGGCCCAAUGACGCUGGCAGCUGCAGGAGGCCCAGGCUUCUCAGUGCUGUGAGCCAGCUGUGUGCAUCUACGUGGCCUUCCUGCGUAGAAAAAAUUAAGUUUUUGAAUAAAGGAAGAGGAUUAUUAGGUUUGUGGUAUGUUUCACUCCGAUUUAUUGGUGUUUUUCCUUUCUAAUAAUCUCCAAUGUUCUGCAGUAAAAAUGCAAACCACUAAUGCUUGGUCAGGGAUUAAUUCUUUAGGCUGUAGUGUUUGCAACAAGAGAAGGAAUGUGAGUAAAAGUGUAAUGGUCUGCUGUAAAAGUUUGGUUCAUGUGUAGAAGAAAAUGCCAGCUGCUGGUGGACCAUUUAAGUGGAACCAUAGCAAUGACUAAAUUAAUUAACUUUAAAUGUCACGAGUGAGGUAUAAAGCUGAUGUCCAGCUCCUCUGACAUGCUUUCAGUGGAUACCCUUAAAACUGUUAAUGAGAGAUCUUGAGUUCCUAUAGCACUGUAUAAGAUGAGAUUUCUGUUGCCCACCAAGAUGCAAACAUGUCACCCAUUUUACAGCUCCUUUCCUUUAAAGGAUCUUCGUAUCCAACAUUCACUGUAAUUACAGGGUCUGUGAGUGCUUGUGUAUCUCUCAUUCACAUCAGUAAUAUUGUCUUCAACAGCCUGCAUAAAAAAAUCCCAGGCUUCAGAAAACAAACUUUUUUUGCCCCAGAUGUUUUCAAGUAGAAGGACACUGCCAGCUCCAGCGAUAGGUGAGAGUGAAACCAAAUGUCCCUGCACUGUACUUGAAAUGAACAUACCGGGCAAGAUGCUGAGAUACCAUGUUCAUGUUCCUCAUAACCAAACACUGCUUUAAGAACAUGUACAUGACACCCAGGAGCGCUGGCAUCCUGAACAAUCAGCCCUUUACUGUUGCUACAUUGCAAGUUCUUUGGUUCUCUGUUGGUUGUUAGCCAGCAAGGAACCACGCAGAUGUCUGGGGAUUUUUUUUUGGUGAAAAACUCAGGGGAUUGCUCAUUUUUCUUCCCUACAGGCAGGCUUGCAUCAUUUUUAAACAAGACUAGGAUAUGUAGUAAUAGACUUAAAUUUUCUUCUCCAGCAUAUCAUAUGCAAAUACUGUGAAUUUCCAUGCCUCAGGCUAAAGUGGAAGUUUAGAGGAAAAAUGCAUAGUUAGUUUUAAUUUAUGUUCUAAUUUUCAGCCUUGUCUGGGUAGUCUUGAAGAGAAAUCACGCUAUGGUCUUCUCUAGUCAACCACCUUGAUGGCUGGUAUGCCAGACCCUGGAGAGAACUGUUCUUGGGGCUAUCUGAAUGCCACAUAUCACUCCAAGUAGACACAUCCCUGUCAAAUCAAAAAUAUUGCAGGCAAGUGUCCAUUUGUACACCUUAAUGGGAUUAACACAGCACUCAUUAGGGAAAGUAGACUUGCACCAGGAGUACUUCAUUGCUGUGGGUGUACCGAUAAAUGCCACCAGCCUUUCCUCAUGGGUGGAAAGCAGCUGUUACUUUGCCUUUAUCAUAGUGCAGCAUGAAAAUAGAAAGUCUCUGUCUCCUUUUAAAAAUAAAAUAGCUGAAAGUUCCACUUGCGUUUAAGGAACUUCCUUGUUCCCUUUGAGCUCUUUGUUUAUGCAUGAAAGAUGAAGUUCGAAGAAGUUGUAUGACAAAGGAGAAGAGGGAGGUUUUUCAGUCAUUGGGGAAGAUGACGAAGCUGGAAAGAGAACACAGUGAGAGACAGCAGCAGGAUCUUUUUGCACUGACAAAAGAAGCUGAAUAGUGUCAGUGGUAGUUUUUAUCACUGUAUGCAAAAUGGAGAGCUUUACUUCUACAUCAGAGAUUAGAACAUGGAAAGAUGGCUGAAGUGGACGCUGAUGUAAUUUUUACCCCAUUUGAGUGUAAUGAGACUGUCAUGGUUUUAUGAUUUUCGGUUAUUGGUAUUCCGCAUCAUAACAUCAUGUAGUGUAUGUACCUGGUUCUCAGAAGAGAAGGACUACUACAUUCCCCAAGGGACUUGGCUCCCUGUUACCAUU